rnacentral:lncRNA from 1 species
GAAGAGUUCAGCAUCUCUCAGUCAACUAAGUAUCACGAGGGCAAGAACCAAACAGAAGGGCGAGAGUACGUGCAGCUGUGCGCCAGGCAUAUGACACACUCACUGGUGGAGCAGCUUCCGCUGGGAAGUCAGCGGAGCUCGCAAAUAGAAAUCGUUAGACUUCCCUGAAGAAAUUCCUAACAACCACCAGUUCUGUGAAACAACAUGUGCUACUCAAUGUUUGCUUAAAUGGGAGGAAAAAAAAUUCCCCAAGGCAACCUUAGGGGCGUGUAACAUUGGCUCUCAAUCAUUGGAACUGAUUCUGAGGAUGCAUCGGCAAGCGGCGUGCCGUGUCACAACACAACAUCCGGCUAUUUGAAAAACAUCAAAUGCACAAAACAGCAUGCAAAAAUAAAUGAAUGUAACAGGAAAAAAAAAAAAAAAAAAAAAAAAAAAAAAAA